UACAGAGGUCCCGAGCGUUGUUCGGAUUCAUUGGGCGUAAAGGGUGCGUAGGUGGCGUGGUAAGUCGGGUGUGAAAUUUCGAGGCUUAACCUCGAAACUGCAUUCCAUACUGCGGUGCUUGAGGACUGGAGAGGAGACUGGAAUUUACGGUGUAGCAGUGAAAUGCGUAGAUAUCGUAAGGAAGACCAGUGGCGAAGGCGGGUCUCUGGACAGUUCCUGACACUGAGACACGAAGGCCAGGGGAGCAAACGGG
rnacentral:rRNA from 1 species